GUGGGGAAUAUUGGGCAAUGGGCGAAAGCCUGACCCAGCGACGCCGCGUGAGGGAAGAAGGUCUUCGGAUUGUAAACCUUAGUCAACAGGGAAGAAGAAAGUGACGGUACCUGUGGAGGAAGCCACGGCUAACUACGUGCCAGCAGCCGCGGUAAUACGUAGGUGGCGAGCGUUAUCCGGAUUUACUGGGUGUAAAGGGUGUGUAGGCGGGGAUGCAAGUCAGAUGUGAAAAUUACGGGCUCAACCCGUAACCUGCAUUUGAAACUGCAGCUCUUGAGUAUGGGAGAGGUAAGCGGAAUUCCUGGUGUAGCGGUAAAAUGCGUAGAUAUCAGGAGGAACACCGGUGGCGAAGGCGGCUUACUGGACCACAACUGACGCUGAGACACGAAAGCGUGGGGAGCAAACAGGAUUAGAAACCCUAGUAGUCC
rnacentral:rRNA from 1 species